GUACACUCCUGCGGGAGGCAGCAGUGGGGAAUAUUGCACAAUGGGCGCAAGCCUGAUGCAGCCAUGCCGCGUGUAUGAAGAAGGCCUUCGGGUUGUAAAGUACUUUCAGCGGGGAGGAAGGCGAUAAGGUUAAUAACCUUGUUGAUUGAUGUUACCCGCAGAAGAAGCACCGGCUAACUCCGUGCCAGCAGCCGCGGUAAUACGGAGGGUGCAAGCGUUAAUCGGAAUUACUGGGCGUAAAGCGCACGCAGGCGGUCUGUCAAGUCGGAUGUGAAAUCCCCGGGCUCAACCUGGGAACUGCAUUCGAAACUGGCAGGCUAGAGUCUUGUAGAGGGGGGUAGAAUUCCAGGUGUAGCGGUGAAAUGCGUAGAGAUCUGGAGGAAUACCGGUGGCGAAGGCGGCCCCCUGGACAAAGACUGACGCUCAGGUGCGAAAGCGUGGGGAGCAAACAGGAUUAGAAACCCCUGUAGUCCCAUGAU
rnacentral:rRNA from 1 species